rnacentral:rRNA from 1 species
UACAGAGGUCCCAAGCGUUGUUCGGAUUCACGUGGGCGUAAAGGGUGCGUGAGGUGGUGGGGUAAGUUUGAUGUGAAAGCUCCGGGCUUAACCCGGAAAUGGCAUUGAAUACUAUCUCGCUUGAGGGUUGGAGGGGAGACUGGAAUUCUUGGUGUAGCAGUGAAAUGCGUAGAUAUCAAGAGGAACACCAGUGGCGAAGGCGGCUCACUGGACUGGUACUGACGCUGAUGCGCGAAAGCCGUGGGGGAGCAAACAGG